GUAAGAAGUAGGUACAUUUUUGUUUGCAUAUCAUAUCAACCAUUAAUAUAAAGUUAUAUUUUAUAUUGUAUAAAGAUUAAGUCUGAGAAGACAAAAUAAAAACUAUAUUUGAAUCUUUCUCUAACUUAUUGGGCUAAAUGACAAUGGCAGAAUGCAAUUUCAGAAUUUCACUCGAUGGGCAAUUUCAGUGUUUUGAUGUGUUCUGUUGCUUCAUUUUGCAGAUGUUUCUAUAAAGAGCAGAAAGGUUGGAUUGGAUGUUCUCUCUGUUUAAAUGAAAAACCUAUUCUUAACCUGAAGCAAGGCCAAUGUAUCGUGCAACAUGGAUGAGUCAGAUUUUAAAGGCAGGUGGAAAAUCAACAGUACUGGGGGUAAAAUGAGCAAGCAAACCACUUCUGUAGUUGACACAGCACUGGAAACAGCACCAAACUAUGUUAAAAACUCAUCUUUGUAAUCCAAUGUAAUGUAAUCAGAAAAAAUAGAUAGCUUUGUGACCUGCUGGGAUGAUUUCUAGUAUUUUUGUUUUGCCUGCAACAACUAGCACCUAAAACAGAACAGAAACUUACAACUAGAUGAAUAUUGCUCAUGCUAUGGAUGAGGUUGUCACUGGCUGCAGGUGGUACCAGUUCCUGUGAGAUAACCAGCCCUUGCUCGUCACUAGAUAAGCAACACUUUGCAAUUCACAGCAUGCCUAUUUUGAUUUGAAAGGUUUUAAAGUCGGGUCCAUGCAGUCAUGUGGAUGAUUUGGAGGGCUGAUUUGAAGGUUGUUUUCCUAGCAAGUGGUGGUGCAGGAGCAAAUUAGUGCAAUUCCCUGUGCAUGAUGAGCUGCGGGAGGGUCUCUACAGGGCAUCACUUUGCCACCGUGGCCACCUCAGACAAAAAGUAAAGCUCAAGUGAAAGAAAAAAUGUUUCCUCCAGCAGUUUCUGCAAUCCCCCUGAUGCUUGGAGUGAUGCAGGAUGAAUCCAGCACAUAAUAUCUACGAGGCUCCUCUGUGCUCUCAGGGUGUUGAUGUAGAGCCAGUGAUGGAGCUGGUGUUCCGAGUCAUGCAUGGUAAGUCACACAGGAAUCACUCCCUAUCAUCACCCCUAAAUCCUGUGGUUACUGCCAUCACUUCUCUCUUUCUGGGGUGAUUAUUUUCAAUAAUCUUGAAAACUCGGCUGAGAUAACUUCAGCGCAGGGAGCUGCUGCACCACAGGCCACCAUUAUUAAUUAAAAUUAGAUAAACAAUUAGCCUGUGAACCUGGCACUCAGAUCACUGCUGCCUCAACAGCCACCACCGGAGCCUCCUGAAGCCACUGUGGGGCUCAGCUGCCCGCCAUUCCUGGGGUCAGAGCAGUGCUGGCAGGCUGGGAUGCAGUGGGGAUGCCCAGAGGAGGUGCACCAGCAAGGGGACUCCAGGGUAUAUAUUGUUAUUUAUUACACUUUCAUUUUCUUUUUCUUCCUCACUUCUUCAUCAGGGCACUGGAGGGAAUAGGAACAUGCUAUCUAAUUUCCUAAUUUUCCUGUCAGCUUUCUGGCUUUCAAAAUGAUUGCAGCAGAAAUCUAUAAAAUGAGGACGAGGGAAGCAAACUUAAUACCAUUGUAAAUCUCCAAAAUGGAUGCAGAAACACAGUACUCAAAUAGAAGUAAAUAAAAGCAAGGAGAGAUUCAUUCUGGUUUUCUUCUCUGUAAACCUACUGGCAGCUUGGAAUUAUUCAGAAAACAACAUUUAACUGAGAAAAAGGGAACCCUGUAAAAUAGUAAAGAUUAUACCGUAAAGCUAAGCACCCUCCAUAAAUCAUAGCUGGGAACAUUGCUAAGUUAUACGAACCUGCAGAUGGCUGUCAUUAAAGAGAAAGAGCCUCUCCCAGCUUGGCGGGCCACACCGUGCCAUGCUGUAAGGCUGCAAAUUGAACUGCUUUCAUGGGGGAGCCACAAAAGUGGUUUUAAAAUAGGAAUUUCAAACAGAAGCUGCAUGAGCUGUUCAGCAGGACUCAGGCUUAUCGUGAAACCACAGUGGCAAUUUCAGGCCUGAUUUACAGGAGACUCUAAUAAGCCUCUCCCAUUUAAAAUAAUAUGGCAAUAGUUUAUUGUAGUGUUGUCCGAAGCUGGAAGAGCAGUGGUGGGGCUGGGUGCUCUGGUAGCAAGCGUGUGCCUGGCAUUGUCCCCAUUUCAAACAGGGACAAAGGGGUGAGAGUUGCUGAAUGGGGUGCAGAGUUGGUGUUGGGAGAGGUUGGGGCAGACCAGCAAACUCCUUCUCCACUCCAGACACUUUUCUGUGUGUUCACCUCCAGUAUUGCUGGUUUAUCCUCUGGGAUGAAGUCAUCUGGGGCUUCGACUCAAGAAACAGCAGGGGAGAUGCUCAAAACAAGCAUGUGAAGCUGAAAAUAGCACACCCCGAUUGUUGCUGCUUUCAAGAUAAAGAUGUCACCAGUGCUUGCCUUCUUGUGCGGUGUUCGUAAAAUGAGAUUAGAGUGAUUUACAAUAGUGAAAGAUGGAACAAGACUAAGAGGAGAUGUGACUCAUUAGACAUCAUCCUGUGACUGUUGGAAGGAACCUGCAUCACUCAGGAAGGCAUGAGCCUGGCUUCUUUGAGCAAAUGAAAAAGAAAUAGGAAGAACACCUGAGGGGUUAUUUUAUUGAGCAAGGAAAUGAACUCCAGAAGAAGUUGUUCCACUGUUUGGAUUCAUUCAUGAUACUGAGAACCAGUGAGUGGAUUCCUGUGUGGACAUUCGGAGGGUGGUAGUAACCUUUGUGUUUUAGUGUCUCUUGCUUCGUGGUUUUCUGUUCUUGAGCAUCCACAUAUUUCUGUCAAACUGUUUAGUGCAUCUCCCUAAAAAAAAAAUAAUUGCUUCUGUAGAAGCAGUGCUUGCCUUUGCUCUCUCUGAGCAGACAGGAUCAGUAACAAAUGACUCACGUGUAGUAAUUACACUCUAUUCCUUCCUAUCCUGCAUUGAUUAUUCAGAUGUAGGAAGACUGGCUCUAUCUUGAGUAAAAUAAAAGAUCUGGAGACCCAAAUAUCGAAACAUUGUUUUGUUGAUGGUGUGUUGUUUUUUUUUUUUUUUUUCCUCCUUUGUUUUUUCAGGUACUGUUUACAGCCACGGUACACUGAAAAAAUGAAACAUUUAUAAACAAAACCUCCUGUCAGACUGCUGUAGUUUAUGUUUGUUUAAAGGACAAUUUUGUGUCAC